GACGAACGCUGGCGGCGUGCCUAAUACAUGCAAGUGGGACGCACUGAUUUCACGGGAGCUUGCUCCACGAGGUCAGUGAGUCGCGAACGGGUGAGUAACGCGUAGGUAACCUGCCUACUAGCGGGGGAUAACUAUUGGAAACGAUAGCUAAUACCGCAUGCUAGCUUUUAGCGCAUGCUAGGAGCUUAAAAGAUGCAACUGCAUCACUAGUAGAUGGACCUGCGUUGUAUUAGCUAGUUGGUAAGGUAAGAGCUUACCAAGGCGACGAUACAUAGCCGACCUGAGAGGGUGAACGGCCACACUGGGACUGAGACACGGCCCAGACUCCUACGGGAGGCAGCAGUAGGGAAUCUUCGGCAAUGGACGAAAGUCUGACCGAGCAACGCCGCGUGAGUGAAGAAGGUUUUCGGAUCGUAAAGCUCUGUUGUAAGCGAAGAACGGGUGUAAGAGUGGAAAGCUUAGACUGUGACGGUAGCUUACCAGAAAGGGACGGCUAACUACGUGCCAGCAGCCGCGGUAAUACGUAGGUCCCGAGCGUUGUCCGGAUUUAUUGGGCGUAAAGGGAGCGCAGGCGGUUAGGAAAGUCUGGAGUAAAAGGCUAUGGCUCAACCAUAGUGUGCUCUGGAAACUGUCUGACUUGAGUGCAGAAGGGGAGAGUGGAAUUCCAUGUGUAGCGGUGAAAUGCGUAGAUAUAUGGAGGAACACCAGUGGCGAAAGCGGCUCUCUGGUCUGUCACUGACGCUGAGGCUCGAAAGCGUGGGUAGCGAACAGGAUUAGAUACCCUGGUAGUCCACGCCGUAAACGCUGAGUGCUAGGUGUUAGGCCCUUUCCGGGGCUUAGUGCCGGAGCUAACGCAAUAAGCACUCCGCCUGGGGAGUACGACCGCAAGGUUGAAACUCAAAGGAAUUGACGGGGGCCCGCACAAGCGGUGGAGCAUGUGGUUUAAUUCGAAGCAACGCGAAGAACCUUACCAGGUCUUGACAUCCCGAUGUUAUUCUUAGAGAUAAGAAGUUACUUCGGUACAUCGGAGACAGGUGGUGCAUGGUUGUCGUCAGCUCGUGUCGUGAGAUGUUGGGUUAAGUCCCGCAACGAGCGCAACCCUUAUUGUUAGUUGCCAUCAUUAAGUUGGGCACUCUAGCGAGACUGCCGGUAAUAAACCGGAGGAAGGUGGGGAUGACGUCAAAUCAUCAUGCCCCUUAUGACCUGGGCUACACACGUGCUACAAUGGUCGGUACAACGAGUUGCGAGCCGGUGACGGCAAGCUAAUCUCUGAAAGCCGAUCUCAGUUCGGAUUGGAGGCUGCAACUCGCCUCCAUGAAGUCGGAAUCGCUAGUAAUCGCGGAUCAGCACGCCGCGGUGAAUACGUUCCCGGGCCUUGUACACACCGCCCGUCACACCACGAGAGUUUGUAACACCCGAAGUCGGUGAGGUAACCGUUAAGGGGCCAGCCGC
rnacentral:rRNA from 1 species